GCCUACGGCCAUACCACCCUGAGAACGCCCUGAUCUCGUCUGAUCUCGGAAGCUAAGCAGGGGUCGGGCCCGGUUAGUACUUGGAUGGGAGACCGCCUGGGAAUACCGGGUGCUGUAGGCU
rnacentral:rRNA from 1 species